rnacentral:piRNA from 1 species
UAGAUGUACAUACCACUACUGCACCAUUCU